rnacentral:rRNA from 1 species
UACGUAGGUGGCAAGCGUUGUCCGGAUUUACUGGGCGUAAAGAGCGCGCAGGCGGUCGUUCAAGUCGCGUGUGAAAGCCCCCGGCUCAACUGGGGAGGGUCAUUCGAUACUGAUCGACUCGAAGGCAGGAGAGGGAAGCGGAAUUCCCGGUGUAGUGGUGAAAUGCGUAGAUAUCGGGAGGAACACCAGUGGCGAAGGCGGCUUCCUGGCCUGUUCUUGACGCUGAGGCGCGAAAGCUAGGGGAGCAAACGGG